CCUACGGGAGGCAGCAGUGAGGAAUAUUGGUCAAUGGGCGCGAGCCUGAACCAGCCAAGUCGCGUGAAGGAUGAAUGCCCUACGGGUUGUAAACUUCAUUUAUAAAGGAGUAAAUGGAGGCACGUGUGCCUUUUUGUCUGUACUUUAUGAAUAAGGAUCGGCUAACUCCGGGCCAGCAGCCGCGGUAAUACGGAGGAACCGGGUGUUAUCCGGAUUUAUUGGGUUUAAAGGGAGCGUAGAUGGGUUGUUAAGUCAGUUGUGAAAGUUUGCGGCUCAACCGUAAAAUUGCAAUUGAUACUGGCCGGCUGGAGUGCAGUUGAGGUAGGCGGAAUUCGUGGUGUAGCGGUGAAAUGCUUAGAUAUCACGAAGAACUCCGAUUGCGAAGGCAGCCUACUAAACUGCCACUGACAUUGAUGCUCGAAAGUGUGGGUAUCAAACAGGAUUAGAUACCCGGGUAGUC
rnacentral:rRNA from 1 species